rnacentral:rRNA from 1 species
AUACGUAGGGUGCAAGCGUUAAUCGGAAUUACUGGGCGUAAAGCGUGCGCAGGCGGUUUUGUAAGAAAGUGGUGAAAUCCCCGGGCUCAACCUGGGAACUGCCAUUGUGACUGCAAGGCUGGAGGGCGGCAGAGGGGGGUGGAAUUCCGCGUGGAGCAGUGAAAUGCGUAGAUAUGCGGAGGAACACCGAUGGCGAAGGCAAUCCCCUGGGCCUGCACUGACGCUCAUGCACGAAAGCGUGGGGAGCAAACAGGAUUAGAUACCCUGGUAGUCCACGCCCUAAACGAUGUCAACCGGUUGUUGGGGAUUUAUUUUCUCAGUAACGAAGCUAACGCGUGAAGUUGACCGCCUGGGGAGUACGGCCGCAAGGUUAAAACUCAAAGGAAUUGACGGGG